rnacentral:rRNA from 1 species
UACGUAGGGGGCAAGCGUUGUCCGGAAUCAUUGGGCGUAAAGCGCGUGUAGGCGGUUCGAUAAGUCUGCUGUCGAAAAGUCCAGGGCUCAACCCUGGAAAGCCGGUGGAUACUGUCGGACUGAGAGUGCGGAAGAGGCGAGUGGAAUUCCCGGUGUAGCGGUGAAAUGCGCAGAUAAUCGGGAGGAACACCAAUUGCGAAGGCAGCUCGCUGGGACGUUAACUG